rnacentral:rRNA from 1 species
AGUGAACGCUGGCGGUAGGCCUAACACAUGCAAGUCGAACGGCAGCACAGUAAGAUCUUGCUCUUACGGGUGGCGAGUGGCGUACGGGUGAGGAAUACAGCGGAAUCUACUUUUUCGUGGGGUAUAACGUAGGGAAACUUACGCUAAUACCGCAUACGACCUACGGGUGAAAGCAGGGGAUCUUCGUACCUUGCGCGAAUGAAUGAGCCGAUGUCGGAUUAGCUAGUUGGCGGGGUAAAGGCCCACCAAGGCGACGAUCCGUAGCUGGUCUGAGAGGAUGAUCAGCCACACUGGAACUGAGACACGGUCCAGACUCCUACGGGAGGCAGCAGUGGGGAAUAUUGGACAAUGGGCGCAAGCCUGAUCCAGCCAUACCGCGUGGGUGAAGAAGGCCUUCGGGUUGUAAAGCCCUUUUGUUGGGAAAGAAAAGCAGCAGGUUAAUACCCCGCUGUUCUGACGGUACCCAAAGAAUAAGCACCGGCUAACUUCGUG